rnacentral:rRNA from 1 species
UACGGAGGAUGCAAGCGUUAUCCGGAAUGAUUGGGCGUAAAGCGUCCGCAGGUGGCUAUGUAAGUCUGCUGUUAAAGAGUGAGGCUCAACCUCAUAAGAGCAGUGGAAACUACAUAGCUAGAGUGCGUUCGGGGCAGAGGGAAUUCCUGGUGUAGCGGUGAAAUGCGUAGAUAUCAGGAAGAACACCGGUGGCGAAAGCGAUCUGCUAGGCCGCAACUGACACUGAGGGACGAAAGCUAGGGGAGCAAACAGG